CGGUGACACAGGCUUUGUGCAGCUGCCAUGGGAAUGGUCUACCUUUAAACUGAGUGCUGGAGUCUUUAGAGCUUGGGGACAAUGUCCCGGGGACAAUGCUGUCCUUUCACUCUAGGAAUGUAAAAACAAGUAGAGAGUAUGAAAGGGGAGAACAGUCAACUUCUGAAUCCCUUUUGGGAAUGAGCGUAAGAGGUGUUUGAAACUCAGAAUUGCCUUACCUUUCAGCAGAAAUAGGUGAUGAUUGGAAAAACCAGCAAGAAUAUCUGGUUAUUUGUGAACUUCAGGUGCCUCAAAACACCUGUAUGUUAUUUCAUCCCAGGACUGAUUUAUUUGGAGGCAAGCGUGUGCCCUGCAGCACCUGUAUGUCCAGCUGGGAGGAUGCCUUUUAGGGCUGCUCAGGGCUGUUCAUACUGUAAUAUGUGCAUACACUCUUUCUCUGACAUCUUAAAUUUCCAGAAAUGCUCUGUCUGUAGCUUCUUCAUUCGUGACCAGAUGUUUUUCAGCGGAGUGGGCAGGCAGCGAGAAAUUUACUGGAAAACAAUGUGAAUGGAUUUUAAGACUUGUUUUUUUCCUAGUGCACAUUUGCUGGGCACCUGUUGACAAAAGUCAGUGUUGGAAAGAUCUUGUGUGUCAUCUGUUCCAUCCUCCAGGCCCUGCCACUUGUGGUGUUUUCUGAAAAUCCCAGUUUCACACAAUUUUGGGCUCUCUUCUAAGCAACUCCUUGGUAAUGGUUAAAGUUGCAGUUUCAAAAGCCUUUAAUUCUGCUUAUUAGACUGGCUGCUUGUAGAAAUAAAUGUCAGAAUUUUUCUGUGUGGGGUACUCCAGGAUACUUGAGCAUGUGUAUAUUUUUACCAGUCCUCUUCUAAUAACUUUUGAAGCUGUUGACUGGUGUGAGACUACUUUGUUAGUAUAGUAAGAGGUGUCUCAACGAUACAGUGUCUCUGUGCAUUUUGUGAAAAUGGGCAGAUGGAUAGAGAAGAAGGGCUGUUGUGUCACUGAGAGGUAAGGCUUAUGAUUUCAUCCUAUUGUUAGUCGUGAGAGAAAGCCGUUAACAGGAGCAAGGAGAUUGGUUUGGGAGUUUUCUGUGGCCAGUCCCUGCUUGCAGUACAACAGUUAAAAGCAGUAAUGUUCAA